rnacentral:tRNA from 2 species
UGCGGGGUGGAGCAGCGGCUAGCUUGCCAGGCUCAUAACCUGGAGGUCGAGGGUUCGAGUCCCUCCCCCGCAACCA